UACGGAGGGUGCAAGCGUUAUCCGGAUUCACUGGGUUUAAAGGGUGCGUAGGAGGGCAGGUAAGUCAGUGGUGAAAUCUCUGGGCUUAACCCAGAAACUGCCGUUGAUACUAUCUGCCUUGAAUACCGUGGAGGUGAGCGGAAUAUGUCAUGUAGCGGUGAAAUGCUUAGAUAUGACAUAGAACACCAAUUGCGAAGGCAGCUCGCUACACGAAUAUUGACUCUGAGGCACGAAAGCGUGGGGAUCAAACGGG
rnacentral:rRNA from 1 species